rnacentral:rRNA from 1 species
AUUGAACGCUGGCGGCAGGCCUAACACAUGCAAGUCGAACGGUAACAGGAAGACGCUUGCUUCUUUGCUGACGAGUGGCGGACGGGUGAGUAAUGUCUGGGAAACUGCCUGAUGGAGGGGGAUAACUACUGGAAACGGUAGCUAAUACCGCAUAACGUCGCAAGACCAAAAAGGGGGACCUUCGGGCCUCUUGCCAUCGGAUGUGCCCAGAUGGGAUUAGCUAGUAGGUGGGGUAACGGCUCACCUAGGCGACGAUCCCUAGCUGUCAUGAGAGGAUGACCAGCCACACUGGAACUGAGACACGGUCCAGACUCCUACGGGAGGCAGCAGUGGGGAAUAUUGCACAAUGGGCGCAAGCCUGAUGCAGCCAUGCCGCGUGUAUGAAGAAGGCCUUCGGGAUGUAAAGUACUUUCAGCGGGGAGGAAGGGAGUAAAGUUAAUACCUUUGCUCAUUGACGUUACCCGCAGAAGAAGCACCGGCUAACUCCGUG